ensembl:lncRNA
AUGAUACUUCCAAUUAUAAUUUUCUGUUCUGUGCUUUCCUAUCAGGAAAAGAAAAUGAGAGACGUUAGCAGCUCGGAAGAUGACCUGGACUUGCCUUUUGAGGAGUCGAUGAUUGGUCGGCUGAAUUCCUUGGACAAGUUUGCAAGUGAGGAAUUUCAGAAAUUAAAAGAAAGCAACAAAAGCCUCCGUGAAUCACUAGAUCACCAGAUGAUCAGUGACAUGGCUGCACUUAAGGCCGAGCUCAGCGCCUUAAAAUCACGCGUAGCAGACCAAGGCCAAGAGAUAGAGGAGCUGAGAAAGCGGCUGGAAGGAAAGGGCAGCGGUGCUCCUGCCCCCUCUGAAGGCCAGAAGAGACCAGCUUCCUCGGCCGAGUGUGCUCCUGAACGGAAGCGGAGACGGUCUGAAGAGCUGGACGAGAUCCUGAUGCCAUUCUGGCCAGACAGAUAUGAUGCACGCGAGAAGCUGACUGAAAGGCAGCAGGCCUUCUUCAGCUAUAUGAUGGACGUGCUGAAAAUCAAAGAUCGGAGAAACCUGGAGACGAACGCGGCGGCGGUCCUCAACGAAGGGGUUUCCAGGGGCGUCUGGGAGGAGGACUGGACUCCUGCCGGAAUUAAAACGACAUUUAAGCAGUACCUUGUAGAAAAAAUAAAAAAUCAUGUGAAAAAGCUCAUCAAGAGGACCAGUGAAAAGUCAACAGACUGAAUAAAAAAAGAAAAAUUUUGAUCUUCUUUUGUUAGUUUAUAUUAUAUAUAUUAUGUUUGACAAUAUUUUGUAUAUAAUCUUAAAUUGUAACAUGUUAUAUAUUUAUAUUUAUUUGUUCUUGAUAAUUACAU